rnacentral:rRNA from 1 species
GUCCCUACGGGACGCAGCAGUCGGGAAUAUUGCGCAAUGGAGGAAACUCUGACGCAGUGACGCCGCGUAUAGGAAGAAGUUUUUCGGAAUGUAAACUAUUGUCGUUAGGGGAGAGAAAGGACAGUACCUAAGGAGGAAGCUACGGCUAUCUACGUGCCUGCAGCCGCGGUAAUACGUAGGGAGCGAGCGUUAUCCGGAAUUAUUGGGUGUAAAGGGUGCGUAGACGGGAAAACAAGAUAGUUGUGAAAUCCCUCGGCUUAACUGAGGAACUGCAAGUGAAACUAUUUUUCUUGAGUGCAG